GUUUGUUUGUUUUAAAGAUUUCAAUUUAUCUAUUAGAGAGAGAGAGAGAGAGAGUACGGGCAAGCUGGGGAAAGGGCAGAGGAAGAGGGAGAGAGAGAAUCAAGCAACGUCCGUGCCCAGCACAGAGCCUGACCUGGGGCUCCAUCUCAAGAGUCUGAGAUCAUGACCUGAGCUGAAAUCAAGAGUCAGACAUUUAACCGACUGAGCCACUCAGCUGCCCCAUGACCUUGACGGUUCGGACUACUGGGCACGUGUUUCGUCCAAGAUCCUCUGUUGGGAGUUACCCAAUGUUUUGCUCGCACUUCCUGACUCUCUGGAUGGACAAGAUUCAUGGGGAGGCGGCUCUUAUGUAUUUCCUCCCCCAUCCCGGCAUUGGCCUGGGUCCCUACUGUUGAGAAUGGGGUCAGAGACCCAGAUCCAGGUGACGGCUGUGUGCUCCUUGCCACUGGGUGCCGUGGUUUCUAGCCCUCUUGAGGGACAAAACUGGAAAUGUACAUACAAAUACAGUAACCUGUGCUCUGCCUGUAGGUGAUUUCUGUGUUCAUCAUCUGUACUUAUAUUCGGCUGGACAGGAGUUCAUGGAGAUGUCUCCAACUCUAGACCCACAGCUCAUGGUUCCUUCUAGGCUUCCCCUAUGGUUGCCUGUCACUUCUGCUCCAACUGCGAUAGCCUGGCUCCGCCCUCACCAUCCACCGUCCUGUAGGCUGCUGUAGGACCGACCACUGGCCCACGGAAAGGCAUGAUGUCACCAGCCAGGGAGCAAGGGCUUCUGCGAAUGUUCCUCUGUCUUCAUCCCUCCCCACCCCCACUUCCCCACCCCCAUCCCCCCAACCCCCACCCCCGUCUCCACUCAGCCUGGGUUUGUUAGAGGACUAGGGGGGACGUUGGGUGGGCACCUCCUUCAGUGAGGUCGUGUCCUGCGUUUGUAACAUGGUUAGGGUUCUUCGUCACAGUCUGCCUCCCACCCUGGGAUCCCCCAACCACCUCACUCAGUUUUUGAAAGUUUGUCUCCAUGGGGGCUCCUGGGUGGCUCAGUUGCUAGGCGUCUGCCGUCAGCUGGGGUCAUGAUCCCGGGAUCCUGGGAUCCUGGGAUCCAGCCCGGAAUCCAGCUCUCUGCUCAGUGGGGAGCCUGCUUUUCCCUCUCCCUCUGCCUGCUCCUCCACCUCUUGUGUGCUCUCUCUGUCAAAUAAAUAAAUAAAAUCUUUAAAAACAAAAGUUUGCUCCAUUAAAGCUCACUCCUGGUGUCAGGGAUUUCAAAAAUGGCCAGUGUCACAUGGAGAAGGUUUACU
rnacentral:lncRNA from 1 species